GGACAAAGGGCUAUUGACAACAGCUGGAGGACCAAUUGAGCACAGUCCAGAAAUUUUGCAGUUUAACAACGGAAGUGCGGAGGCAAUGCAAAGUCCCAAAGAUAUAGCAGUAAUGCAUGGUAAGGCCCACCAAAAGGGUGAUCAUGACAUAAUAAUAGGGAGCAGAAAAGCUGGCCUAGCAGCCAAGGAAGCAGCUAGAAGAACACCAGGAGGCCUACAAGCGCUGGGGAUACAGCCUGUAACUGCCAUUUCUAAUAUAAGUUUGCUGGCAGAAUAAGGUCAAUACAAUUUCCUCCACCAAUGCAUGACCAGAUGGCCACCAGUGGUGGAAGGAGAAGAACAUUCAGACACAGGAAAAUGCAAUAGCAGUCAUCUUAAGCCACCGAGGUUUGCAGCUGGGUGAGUGGAACCACUGAAAAAUGUAAAAUACCAUUAAACCCCCACAUUACACUGUACAAGGUCUAAUGAAUCAGCAGUAACUGUCUCAACAUGUAAGCACCAACCCUCACGCUAUUUUAUGUAAAUAUGAAUUUCUAUCAGAUUAGUAGCUUUUUUCUCCCAUAUUCUGUGAUGGAGGAUUUUAUGGUUUCAAUUGUGAAGAAAUCGAACAUUUCUGAGAUUAUUAACUUCUCCGACCCUGUACAAAUGCCAGGGGAACUGGU
rnacentral:lncRNA from 1 species